UUCUCCACCAGCCAACCCAAAAGCUAUGCCAGUUUCCUUCCUUGUGUACUGAGGAGUAAAACAAUCUGGAGAAACCUCUUCCAGCUUUAGGACUGGGUUUCCGUUUCAGUUACUCCACUGUUUGCUUUCUAGUUAAGACACCUGGCGGCUUUUUACCUCUAGCCACUGGUGCACGAGGUAGGAGGUAGCCAAGGGUAACUCGCCCCAUCUUAAAGGCAAGGGGAAGCACUUAACACUAAUACUGAUCACUUCUAGAAUUCAUUCUAUAUGCUUCUUCCAACAAUGAGGCACACCAUCCUUUGGUUGUUUUAUUCUUUAUACAUAUGCUUUUCUUUGGGGUAACAUAAUGGAUUUUUACAAAUUAAUAGAACAUGGUCUACAGCUAUGCUUCAGAGCUUGACAUUAUACUUAGAGCUAUGAAUGCUGUGCGUGAUCUUCAUUAGUGACCAGAAGGAAGGGUUAUAUACUGGAGAGGGGAUGCAAAUAUGCUCUGCCCAGGAGCACAAACAUGGUACUUAGACUUAAAAGUUCAUUCCCAAAUUAAAGACUAUACUCUCUGGAAUGAAACCUAGAAAUAGGAAUUCUGGGGGUAGGGGGAAGUCCCCCAAUGACUGUGUUGAGCACUUUUUUGCCUACUUGACACAAGCUAGCAUCACCAUAGAGGGAACCUCAACUGAGAAAAUGUCUCAGUGAGAUUGAAUGUAGGCAAGCCAGUAGGCAUUUUCUUAGUGAUUGAUGGGAGAAGGCCCAGCCCAUUGUGGGAGGGGCCACCCCUAGAAAGUUGGUCCUUGGUUCUAUAAGGAAAGCAGGCUGAGCAAGCCAUGGGGAAAAACCAGCAAGCAGCAGCCUCCAUGGCCUCUGCUUCAGCUCCUGCCCUGACUUUCUUGGAUGGUGAACAGAGAUAUGGAAGCAUAACCAAAUACACCCUUUCUUCUCCAACUUGCUGUUAUUUCACUGCAGCAAUAGUAGUCCUAAAGGGGACAAUAACUUAGACAGAUAUUUUUCUGAUCAAUAAAUACCCGAAGGCUGGUCAGGUAAAGACAACUGGGUGUGAACUGACAAAUAUUUUUUUAGAACAGUGGUUCUCAACCUUCCUAAUGCUGUGACCCUUUUAACACAGUUCCCCAUGUUGUGGUGACUGCCAACCAUAAAACUGUUUUCACUGCUGCUUUAUAACUAUAUUUUUGCUACUGUUAUGAAUCAUAAUGUAAAUAUCAGUGGUUUAUGAUGGUCUUAGGCAACCCCUGUGACCGGCUGACCCCCAAAGGAGUGGUGACUCGGGUUGAGAACCACUGCAUAAGACUUCUUAGUGUUAAGGGCUGGAUUUUGUGCUAUAAACUCCGUUGUCAGGAACAACAGAGCCAAAUCAUUUCAAUAUGCUGAGCUCUCUAGUUCUUAUCUAUCUGUCUGUCUAUCUGUCUAUCAAUCAAUCACAGUAUAAACACACUGCAUACACUGUACUCCCAGCAGCUGUGGUUGCCCUGGGCUCGCACCCAUCCCCUGCUUACUUCAUGUUUAGCGCUGUCUGCUUCUGUUUUCUGUAAUGUCUCUCAUCUCUCUCCAGUAAUGGGCUUUACUAAGGCUCGUGCUAGUUCGGUAGAAAACAAUCAUCAACAAAUCCAUGUAUUGUCACCUUGAUAAGUGCAUUUGCUCACACAAUAAACGUGUGUGAUUCUCCCAUGAUUGUGUAGCAAAUGAGUUUUUUUUUUCUAAUGGUGUGACAUAAUCUAGAUAUUAAAUUCAGCUUUAUUCUAUUUUAUUUCUUAUCACAUUUCAUUGUGUAGUAAAUAGUAAACCUAUUUAAUACAUUACUUUUUUCCUAGUGAUUUGCAUUAUUUUUUGUGAUGUUGGGAUCAUGCCCAGGGUUUGUACAUACUAGACAAGUGCUAUACCACUGAGCUGUGUUCAUAGCUUCUUUUAAAUAUAAUAGUCAGCGAUGUUUUUUUUUUUUUUUCUUUUUAACAAUGGAAAACAGAAGGAAAAGUUAAUUAUAGGCAGGUGUGCUCUCUCUCUCUCCUUCCCUCCUACCCUUCCUUUAGCAGGGUCUUAUUAAGUAGCCCUGGCUUGCGUGAAACUUCCUAUAGACCAGGCUAGCUCUGCCUGUCUCUAUCUCCUUAGUGUUGAGAUUAAACACGUGGGCCAUCAUGUCCGGCCCCAUUAGCCUUUCUUUACCCACCACUUUCCGGACCUUAGCACAUAUACACCAGGGCUAGAGGGAUGAAUCUGGGUUGGGUAACACUUGCUGUUCUUGAAGAGGGCUCGACUUUGGUGGCUCACAGCUGCUUUAUUCCAGCUCCAGGGGAGCUGUUCUGGGCUUAGUGGGCACCUGCACAGAUAGUUAGUGCAUUCCCAUGGAGCUGGACCCCACUCACGUUCUCCCGGUUAGGAUGCUUAGUUUGCUUUCCGUCUCAACUUUUGCUGAGCAUUUAAUGCAUAAACCAAAUUCUAAACACUAGGUGAUUUUCUUUCUUUCUUUCUUUCUUUUUUAAGAUUUAUUUAUUUUAUGUAAGCACACUGUAGGCAUCUUUAGACACACCAGAAGAGGGCGUCAGAUUCAUUACGGAUGGUUGUGAGCCACCAUGUGGUUGCUGGGAUUUGAACUCAAAACCUUCAGAAGAGCAGUCGGUGCUCUUAACUGCUACGCCAUCUCUCCAGCCCUAUUAGGUGAUUUUCUUAGCAAAUUCCUAGAGUUGGAACUGUUAGAUAAAAAGUUACUUCAUCUUAAUAUAUAUUAUUAUAGCUUAGGCAACAUUUUUCCAACUUACAUUACAAAGUUGUAAGGUAUAAAUAUCUAUGUUUUACUUCGAAGUCUGCAAUGGUUUUUUUUUUUUUUUAAAGAUUUAUUUAUUUAUUAUAUGUAAGUACACUGUAGCUGUCUUCAGACGCACGAGAAGAGGGCAUCAGAUCUCUGUUACAGAUGGUUGUGAGCCACCAUGUGGUUGCUAGGAUUUGAACUUCGGACCUUUGGAAGAGCAGUCAGGUGCUCUUACCCCCUGAGCCAUCUCACCAGCCCGCCUGCAAUGGUUUUGCUUUCUUUUUAGUUCUUCUAACUUAGACAUUAAAAAAUUUGAUUUUUCUAGAAGGAAGCAAUACAAGGAGCAAUAUUCUAUAGCUUGUUAAGCCACUAUACAUGGAGAAUGGAGCUAGAAUUGCAGACUAGUUAUAGUAACAACUCUAAUUGUCUUAUUCAUAGAAUAUCAAUGAUCCAAACAUUUUAGUAAGAGCUGCCCUGAGUAGUUGUUUGAGAGAGAGCUUCCUGAAGAAACACUGGUGCUCUCACACUCAACAGAGACCUAGAAAAACCAAAGACAGAAACGGAAGAACAACAUUUACCUGGUUUUACCAGUGGGAUCCAUAUAAGUUGUUUUUUCAAAUUUGACCCAUUUUCCUUCUGAGAUCAACUAAAACAAAAGAAGACAGUUAUAAGCUUGGAAACUGUCAAAUCAAGUUGGUCUUUUUAAAAAUCAAUUAGUGUAUUCUUUCAAAUUUUCUGUAUGUUUCCUUCUCCCAAUUUGCUUCCCUCACAGGAACUUGUGGGCAAGUUUCUAGCUUGGAAUAAAUAUUCAAAGUUGUUUUCCU
rnacentral:lncRNA from 1 species